rnacentral:rRNA from 1 species
UACGUAGGGUGCGAGCGUUAAUCGGAAUUACUGGGCGUAAAGCGUGCGUAGGCGGUUCGUUGUGUCUGUGGUGAAAGCCCCGGGCUUAACCUGGGAAUGGCCAUGGAAACUGGCGAGCUGGAGUGUGGCAGAGGGGGGUGGAAUUCCGCGUGUAGCAGUGAAAUGCGUAGAGAUGCGGAGGAACACCGAUGGCGAAGGCAGCCCCCUGGGCUAACACUGACGCUGAGGCACGAAAGCGUGGGGAGCGAACAGG